rnacentral:rRNA from 1 species
AAGCAGGUCUCGUGGUGACAGCGGAGGGAUCAUUACCGAGUUUUCACUCCCAAACCCUUUUGUGAACAUACCUAUCGUUGCUUCGGCGGACUCGCCCCAGCGUCCGGCCGGCCCCGCGCCGGCCGCGGCCUGGAUCCAGGCGGCCGCCGGAGACCCCCAAACUCUGUAUUCUCAGUAUCUUCUGAAUCCGCCGCAAGGCAAAACAAAUGAAUCAAAACUUUCAACAACGGAUCUCUUGGUUCUGGCAUCGAUGAAGAACGCAGCGAAAUGCGAUAAGUAAUGUGAAUUGCAGAAUUCAGUGAAUCAUCGAAUCUUUGAACGCACAUUGCGCCCGCCAGCAUUCUGGCGGGCAUGCCUGUUCGAGCGUCAUUUCAACCCUCGACUUCCCUUUGGGGAAAUCGGCGUUGGGGACCGGCCGUAUACCGCCGGCCCCGAAAUGAAGUGGCGGCCCGUCCGCGGCGACCUCUGCGUAGUAAUCCAACUCGCACCGGAACCCCGACGUGGCCACGCCGUAAAACCCCCGACUUCUGAACGUUGACCUCGGAUCAGGUAGGAAUACCCGCUGAACUUAAGCUAUCANUAAGACGGAGGAA